rnacentral:rRNA from 1 species
AAACUUAAAGGAAUUGACGGGGAGCACCACAACGGGUGGAGCUUGCGGUUUAAUUGGAUUCAACGCCGGAAAUCUUACCGGGACCGACAGCAAUAUGAAGGCCAGGCUGAAGACUUUGCCGGAUUAGCUGAGAGGAGGUGCAUGGCCGUCGUCAGUUCGUACUGUGAAGCAUCCUGUUAAGUCAGGCAACGAGCGAGACCCACGCCAACAGUUGCCAGCUCGUCCUCCGGGAUGGUGGGGACACUGUUGGGACCGCCUCUGCUAAAGAGGAGGAAGGAAUGGGCAACGGUAGGUCAGCAUGCCCCGAAUUAUCUGGGCUACACGCGGGCUACAAUGGGUGGGACAAUGGGUAUCGACACCGAAAGGUGAAGGCAAUCUCCUAAACCCAUCCGUAGUUCGGAUUGUGGGCUGCAACUCGCCCACAUGAAGCUGGAAUCUGUAGUAAUCGUGUCUCAAAAUGGCACGGUGAAUAUGUCCCUGCUCCUU